GUAUCAAUCUUCAAUUCUCUAAAUAGUUAAGUUAGAAGCCCCUUAUAGUCCGUCUAGAGAUUUUAAAUUUUCAAAUGACUAGAUUUCAAGGGACCUAAGAUCUAAAUGCAGCAACGGAUUGUCAAGGAAGGAUCCCACAUCUUCACCACGGUACAAAACACUAACCGAGAAUCCUGCCUCCUUAUGCAACUUCCUUCAAAUCUCUCAGUUUCCCAGAAAACAAAAGAAUCCUUGUUGUAUAAAUCAGACUUUCUCGAAACAAGCCAACAUUCAGAAUUCCAAUCCACUCCCAUUAAAGACCACUCGACCAUAAACCCUCUCAAAGUUAAAAAAGAUCAAAACUUUCUCUGUUACUAUACUAAAGCAUGGCUGGUUUCAAGAGACACAUGUCACCAAACCAAUCCUCGUACAACUCUGUUUCCAAGCACCAGCAUACUUCGCAGUGAAUGACCUCAUUGCAAAAGCACCGACAACAAAGACAACUACCAUCUUCAGUAAUGUUGACAAAGAAAUGCAGUGCCCAAAAAUUCAAAACCUUUGUCUACAGAUGGGUCUCUCUGCUUUGCCAAAGCCACAGUUAACCAACAUGAAGUCUUUGUCAACUGGCAGAGUCUUAAAGCCUUCUUCUUUACAGUUGUGUGUGCAAAUGAAUGAGCCUGAAAAGGUUUUCAAGUCUAGAGUUUGGAACUCUGUUCAGUCUGAGAAUUCAAGUUCUGUUAAUAUCUGGGACUAUUCAGAUGCUGAGGAUACUCCUACAUCUUCUUGGUCUACAUUGCCCAAUAGGCCAUUGCCACUGGACAUAAGGAGAUUUACCUGUGUUAUUUUGAAGAAAAUACUGCCAGGAGGGGGGGGGGGGUUCAUUGUACUUUUUUUUUUUUUAAGUAGGAUGUCCUAGUUAAUUUACGUGUAUCUUGACUAAUUUCACGAAUCUUAAAGUUAAUAAUUAUAUAAUCUCUAGUGAUCUUGAGAUUUUUAAACUCGAACUGUUGAUCUCUAAAAAACAAGCCUACAACUGACAUGUUAUGUUGAAGUAUACCUCUUAUUGUACUCGCUUUAUAUCAAUGUAAGCUGUUCUCUUACUUGUGAAUA